rnacentral:lncRNA from 1 species
UUUCACCGAGUCCCGGGCCGAGUAAUGUUCGUGCUGAGUUUCUUGCAUAUGUCACCGAUUCCCUCACUAGAGGGCCGGGUAUGUAUAUUAUAUAUAUGAUUGGUGAUGAGGAUGGUUAUGAUGAUGAUGAUGACGGAGAUGAUGUGAUGACUAUUUCACCGAGUCCCUCACUAGAGGGCCGGGUACGUAUGAUGUAUAUAUAUAAUGAUUAUUUUGCCGAGUCCCUUACUAGGGACGCCGGGCACCUUAUAUGUUAAAGAUAUGCAUGAUUUUCACUUAAAAGGUACAUGUGUAGUGAUAUCUUGUUUCGACUUAUCAUGUUGGUAUCCUGUCAUCUUUACCUUAUGCUUUACAUACUUAGUACAUUCCCCGUACUGACCCCCUUUCCUCGGGGGGCUGCGUUUCAUGCCCGCAGGUGUAGACGCACAGUUCGAUGAUCCUCCCGCCUAGGAUAUCUUCUCUGCUGAUUGGGCGAGCUCCAUUGUUCCGGAGCCCAGUCGUUUUGGUACAUAACUUUCUGUGUAGUCUUUUGCUUGUCUAUGGGUAUGGCGGGACCCAGUCCCGUCGAGUUUCACUGCUAUACUCUUAGAGGUCUGUAGACAUUAUGUGGGUUGCAUAUAUAUGUUUUGGAGAAUGUUCUGGACAUGGUUUGUUUUGGAUGUCCGCUUGUAUAGGGCCAGCCUUGUCGGCUGCAUACAUCAUUGUGUAUUGUGUAGUGGCAGCCUUGUCGACUUGCGUAUGCUAUUAUGCUUUGGAUAGUGGCGGCCUUGUCGGCUCGCGUAUGUUGUUACGGUUGAAUGGUUAUGACUCCUUAUGAGACAGAUCCACUUUAUAUAUAUAUGACGUUAGGGUUGGCUUGAUUUGAUUAAAUUCCAUAUUAUCUUAGUUUCAGUUGGUUAUACUUAACAGAUUUGUAUGUGAGUGUCCAAAACAGGCACUAGUCACGGCCCAUCGGGUUGGGUCGUGACAGGAUCAGCAUAACUAACUCACUUUUAUCGCAAUAUCACGGUGAACAAUUGGAAUGCAAAAGCAAUGUGUGCAAGGUGCUUGAUGAAUCGUCUGAUAUGCACAAACAUGCAAAUUCUCUCGGUAAAUCCAGCAAGCCUGUUGAGCUUUUCAUUCCCCCCUAAUGAUAUGGUAAAUUCUGUCUCCAAAUUUUUUGUGAUACAUAGAUGUGCUGAUUAUGUUAAAAAGGAAGACACGAAGGAUGAUAAGAGGAAAUUUUUACCAUCAGAAACGAACCUAUAGAAUUUGUUAUUGAAAUACAUGUAAACCUUCAUUCUGGAAUAAUUUUAUAGUAUCUAUUUCCUAUGACCUAUCCAUUUUUGAUAUUCACAAAGCUUUGGAUGAUCUUUGGAAUAAAUUAUUCACUAUACACUACAAAAAAUUCUACCCUGUUUGGCUUAUUCAGCGUUGGAAGUAGAUCCAUUCUAUUCCUUCCACUUUCAGUUAUUCCAAGCUUACGGGCAAAGUUACUAAUGGUGGUCGGGACUAUGUUGGCUGCUUUAUCAUGUAUACUGAAUUUUCUAAAUGUGAUAGUUAUGAUCAUCUUUCAGGUUUCAAAGCAAUUUAGUUGAAAAGAGUAUAAUUUUACAUGUACAGGAUCCUGGUAUAUACAAACUGCUUCUGAAGUUGAAUCGUUUGAAUGGUAGCAAUUUUUUCCACAGCCAAACUCGAGACUUUUUAUGAAUGCAAAGCAAUUUAAGAGGUGUGUACUAACUGUGCAUAAACGAGAAUUAUUUCUUGAUGGUGGUGGAAUUGUUAAUUUGUUCCAGAUAUAUUGCAUCCAAGUGAAUCCUCAUAUAUUUGGAAUACAUGUAAAGAAAAUAUUGCUCUCUUCUCUCUCAUCUCACUCACCACUCUCAGAUAGAUAUGGUAUCUCAUUAUAUGUGAAUCACUCAAAAUACAUGCACAUAUAUGUAUCUAGUGUGAUUUACAUUGUCUCUGAGAUAGUUACAAGUCUUGCUCACCUAGUUCCCCAAUCUCUCCUCUCUCCUUUUUAUGUACCUUGUAGGAAAACGCAUGUAUCUUUGCAUAAGAUACGUAAACAAUUUUAAAUUAGUGGUAAGAUAAAUAAUAUUUUGGCAUUAUGGAUCAUUAUAAUAUUUAUAGUAGUGAAUUAUAUGUCUAAUUAUAUAGUUUUCGAAUAUUUUUAAAUAGCGUUGACCGUACAUUUUGAGAGUAGAUUUUCAAAAUUAACCUUCAAAUAUUCAUUGGACUAUAAAAUUUGACUAGAUUUUCAAAUUUUGGUUUUCAAAUAUUUUGAAGUUCCUAACACCAACUAAGAUUUGUUUUUGAAUUUUAGUAACUUCCAUUCACGAAACUCCAAGAAAUUUUGGGCAAGAAAUUUAUUUUUCUUCUAAUUACUUUAACUUUAUUGUUUACGAUUAUAAUAGCAUAUUAAAAAUUUUCUUAUUAUAUUGAAUGUUUGAAGAUUUUGAUAUAUAGAUUAUUUCAUUUCAAAUUGUGUUCUCACCUACUUUCCUCAAAUUGAUAAAGUCAUUAACAAAAUUAUAAUGUUAAUCUCUUUAAUUUAGAAUGUUUAUUUAGUUUUCUUUAUUAUGAUUAGUGCAAGACUAUAUUCAUUUAAAUAUCUAUAAAAUUAUGUUUUGUUACUUUAAUCUUAACAUAAUGAGAAGAUUUGUUUUCAUUUAUUGUAUUGCAAGAAAUUAAUUACAUCAUUGAGGAUGUUUUUUUAUAAAUAAGCAACACAUUUUUUGGACAACUCAUCUAUUACUAUAUCAUUUUAGAGUCAUGGUAGGGAAAAAGACCCUAGGACGCCAUAAGAUUUCGAUGGCCAAAAUAGAAAAUAAAUAUGAUUUAUACUCAUCAUUUUCAAAGUGUCUGGAAAUUUUAUACAAGAAAGAAACCAAUAUGAUUGGGAAAUAUGACAUUGAUGUGAGAAUAAUCGCAUUUUCCCCCUCUCAUAGUCCCUUCACUUUUUUCCAUCCUACAAUUGAUGCUAUUAUUGAUCGUUUCAUUAGUGCAUUUAACCAAGGAAGUUUAUAUAGUCGCCUUAACGUUGCAAGCACUCGAAUCAGAAACAAGUUUAGCUUGACAAUCUAGAUAUCACUAAAGAGACUUUAGCUAAUCAGAAAACAGACGAGACUGACAUAGAGGAAAUGUAGGAACAAAUAAAGGUAUUUAAUGCAGAGGAUUUGAAAAAAAUAUGAAGUCGAUUGGAUGAGAUUGAUUUAAUGCUGGAAAAUGUUAUUGCUUCUUUUCCACAAGCUCCUCAAGAAAAUUCUAAUUAAGUAUAUAAUGGUUCCUUAUACAUUUGAAGCUUCAUGCAAUGAAAUAAUUUUCUUUUCUAAAACGUUUUUAUUAUAAGUUUUAGUUUCAAUUUUUAUUAUCAAGUUGAUGGUGUUAUUUGAAUUAUUUAGCGGUGAUUUUCAUUUAUGAUGUAAAUUUAAUGAACCGAAAGACUUGAAUUUUUGUAUUGGUUAUGAGUUCAAUAUUUUUUAAUUAUCAUGGUAAGUUUUAGAAUUUUUAACAUAUGUCAAUGAUUUUGAAUAUAUUUAAUGAUACUAUCAUUGUGAAGACCUUAGAUCUUGGCUUUGAACUAAUAAAUGCAAAUUAGUUUUCAGGGUUUUAAUCUAAUCACACACAUAUGAUGUGUUUAGAAAUAAUUAAAAUUUAUUCUUACACGUUUGGGCUAUUUAGAUAUAUCUUUAACGGUUUUUAGGACAACAAUACAUUAAGAAAAUUAAAAAAUCGGAGCCAGAAGGUGAAAUUUAAUUCGAGCAAAUAGGGAGGUCCAUUUAUACUGAGUGUCGUAGAAGAUCUGUCAGGCUAAAGUGUAUCUAGUAGUUGAACUUUAGACUGAGCCAACUAAAGGGUAAAGUCACUUUUUCAAAAAAAAAUAGAACAUCUAAAUUUAAUUGUGAAAUCAAAAUUUUCAUGAUGGCUAAGCUUUCGUAAAUGAACAUUUUGGCCUAUUUUUUUAAAUGAUGAGUGAGUUUUACACCCAUUACUAACAAAUUUGACAAUUUUUUAUAUGUAUUUGUAACAUCUCGCAACUAAGAAGAACAACAAAAGAGUUUAAAAUCUGAAAAUAGUUACUAUUAAAUAUAUAAGGAAAUCUGAAAAUCUUUGAGUAAGCCAAAAAGUGAGUUUUUCACUUAUUUCAAACCACUAUAAGUCCUAACCGAAGAUGAUUUAGGUGUAAUUCCACAUAUGUUUGGAAUUAUGAAUUAUCAUUCCCAUGCCACUAAGUUUGCGCGAUUAGGAGUUCAUAUGAGUGAGUUAUGUCUUUUGGAAGUUGAGUUGUUGGAUAAAGCAAAGUCUAAUCCGGAUUUGGGAAGGAAAAAUUUGUCCUUUUCUUACCUAAUUAUAUAAAUUCGUUUAUAGUGAUUAAUUAGGGUAAAAUAAGACUUCAUUCACUUUAGAAAAAUUUAGAGUUUACGCAAGGGAUUGGAGAAACGAUAAAAGAGGAGAAAUCAAGAAAUUUCUAAUUCAUUCAAGCUUUGCGUGUGGAAUUUGUCGGGGGUGAUCCCUAUAAAGGUAUGCGAGAUCACAUAGUGUUGGGUUAGUUUACCCAUGUGCCAACCAUGUUUCAAUUCAAAGAAUUUAAGUUUUAGUAUGUUAAGAAAUUGAGUUCUUGAAGAACAUCGUUGAAAGUUUCGUUGAAUUCUUGUGGGUUGUUUAGUUGAAGUUUAUUGAGGUUUGAUUCAUAUUUUCGACUGUAGUUUUCUUGAAUUUAUCGUAUAUUUAGAGUACUAUUUAUCUUUAGUGUUUGGGGAAAGAACCAUGGAAGUUUAGAACGCCUUGAGAUGAAUAAUGAAGGAGAAAAGUCGGAGUCAAUAGGGAAAAAGGGUGAGGCAUCGCGCUAGUCGGUGUACCCCAAAGAAAUCUCUGUCUAUAGGGCUCUGGGGACGCGCCAGACAGAGCACCCCAACCAAUGCUAUGAAGAUUGAGGGCGAACUCCUCAUGCCUCUUAGAGUUUCGAGGAUGCUAGUUCUCCCCAUUCUUCUUCCAUCUUUUCGUACUAGGUUCCUCAGUGAUUUACCAAUGUUUCCUGGUUGAUUCAAACACUCUAAGGUACAUCUAAACAUAAUUAAAUUAUCUGUAAAUGUGAGAUCAUGAACUCUGAACCCAUAAUCCAAUUUAAGGAAAGUUAAUAUCAAAAUCAUGAGAAGUUAAGAUAAAGUCUAGAAGUUAAGGGCAAGUCAAAAUAAAGUUUAUAAAGUUUUCAAAAGUCUUUCACAAACGUUUUCACUUUGUUCUAAAGACUUAAAAUUCUGGUCGAGUAAAGAGUAAAGGUUGAAGUCAUUUCUUCAAAGAAGUAUAUGGGGACUAUGAUUUCCCAAAGAUUUUAAAAAUAUUUUUCUCAUUUGAGAAAGAAAGGUAACAUCGCUUCCGAAAGGUAACAUCGCCGAGCUUUUAAGCUAUGUUUUGAGUAAUUAUUUGUAACCAAAGAAAGAAGUUGUUUUAAAAAGAUAAGAUCUAAGUAUAUUAUUAGAAGCACCGAUAUGCUGAUGCGAGUUCAUAUCAACUCAAGUUUUCAUAAACCAUGUAGUCAUCAUAAGUAUUAAAGGGUUAUACUUUUUAGAUGAUCACUUAAGUUAAGCUAGUGAAUCAACUAAGUUAUGUAGUUUUGUAUGACGUCAUAGUAUUGAACAGUAUAGCGGGGUGAUGGUAACAAUCUUGAUCACCACUUAGGAUCAUAGAGGUGGUUGUCGGUUAGAGAAACUCCCACAGUAAUAAGUGCAUGGUUCCUCAAGAGAUUCUGCUUAGUUUGAAUGGGGUAUGAUACUUCAUUCAUGCAUUGCACAAGUAGACUUUGAGAGGGAGCAUCCUCUUUUUUUUAUUGCACUUGUUCUAAACUACUUUAUAAUGAAAUGAGUUCAAUUAGGUAUUGAGGAGUUGAGAAAGCCAAGAUAAGUGUUUCUUUCAGAAUCUUCUCAAUCUUAUGGUGUAUUUGGUAUUCUAACUCGCAUACUCGGUCAUUCAAUAUACUGAUGUCAAUUUACCUGGAUUGUCUAAUGAUGCAUACACAAGUAACUAGGAUUAGCACCUAGCACACCAUUGAUCCAAUGAGCAGCUUAGUGUCAGUUGGUGAGCCUUCUUGCAUUCCAGAGGAAUCCUUUUCAUUGUUUACAAUUUUAUUUUUGCAGUUGUUAGGAUGAUUGGGGGUUUUAUCCCGACAUCCAUCUCAGUUAUUCGAGGCUUCAUAGAUAGCUAGUUAUUAGACAUUUGUCUUUACAUUGUCAUUAAUAUGUACUAAUACUUGAGUUGUCAUUUAGCUAUAUUCAAUGUUUAUUUUUUUAAAAAAAGGUUUGAGUCUUAUGAUUAGUUAAGUAAGUCAGGCCAAAGGCUUGCUUAGGGCCAACAAUGGUUCUUGAGUGCCGGCAACGUCCCAGGUGUAGGCUUGGGGCGUGAACAACUUGAUAUUAGAACCUAGAGUUCAAGAGUCCUAGGGAGUGUAUGAAGUGGUAUUUGUAGAGUCCUAGUUAUCAGUGCGAAGCGCGUCACAUCUAUAAUUAGGAGGCUGCAACAGUUAGAAAUUCCUUCACUUCAUUCAUACUUAUUUCGUGUGUUGGAGUUUGACCUCUAAAAGGUUUCCUUCUAAUUUGUGCUUGCACGUGUUUUCAGAGAAUUAUUCCUCCACGAAGAGAAGUCAAAAAUCCUCCAACUAGGAAGAAUAAUGAGGAACAAGAAUCCCAAUACACCUGAAGUGCAACCUCAAUGAAAAGUUACCCAUGCUGAAUUUUGUGAGACUAUCUGAACGUUAUGUCAAGUUUCAACCUAUCAAAUUGGACAGAGAGAUAAUCGACAGGAAAUGGUUGAUACAUCAAAGAUUUGAGAGCUUUUAAGGAUGAAUCCCCCAAGCAUCACAGGUUCAAGUGUCACUGAGGAUCCAGAAAACUUUAUUUGGUGUAAUGCAAUUGUUGAAGCAGAGAGGGUGGAACUGGUUGCAUACCAAAUGAAGGGUGUCGCUGGAAUCUGGUUUGACCAAUGGAAAAAGAAUAGGGUGGAGAAUGCACCGGUAGCGAGUUGGGUUGUGUUUCAGAGUGCUUUCAUGGGGCGUUUAUUUCCUUGUGAGUUGCGAGAGGAAAAUAUAAAAGAGUUUCUCACCCUUAAUCCGGAGUCUGUGAGUGUUCAUGAAAACGGUCUAAAAUUCACAUAACUUUCACGCUAUGCUCCAGAGACGGUUUCUGACAUGAGGAGUAGGAUGAGUUUCUUUGUUCAUGGGUUGUCUUUUUAGUCAAGCAAGGAAGACAAGGCUGCUAUGCUGAUAGGGGAUAUUGACCUAGCAAGACUUAUUAUACAUGUACAACAAGUUGAGAAAGAUAAGCUGAAGGAUAGAGAAGACUUUAAGAAUAAGAGGGUCAAGACAUCAAAUAAUGAUUUUAGGCAACACAAGAGUAAAUACAACUCUCCUACGGAAACAGAAGGGACAUGCUCCACCAUUUGGUAGUGCACCUGCACUUAAGAACAAAGGUGAUUACAAUAGUCAGAAUCCCCAUAGUUUCAAAGCUAAACAUGCGUGUGCUAGGUGUGGUAGAAAACACCAAGGUAAGUGUUGUGAUGGGAAGACAUGUUGCUUCAAGUGUGGUAAAAAGGGUCACUUUAUGAGAGAGUGUCCCCAGAUCUUGCAAAGUCAUGGUAAUAAGGCCCAGCCUUCUUUAGUUGCUCCACAAGACAGAGUUGCAACUCAAGGAGCUGCUUCAGGUACUAGAGGGGAAACAAACCGAUUAUAUCCUAUCAAAAGUCAUCAAGAGAAAGAAAAUUUGCCAGAUGUUUUCACAGGUAUGAUCAAACUCUUUGACUUGCUGUUUAUGCUUUGUUAGACUCAGGGGAGAGCUUAUAUUUUGUUACUCCUUAAGUUGCUUUGAAUUUUGAUGUUAUUCCUGAGCAACUUAGUAAAUCAAUCAGUGUUAGUACACCUGUUAGUGAGUCUAUUCUAUUAGAGAGAGUCUAUCGUGAUUAUAUCAUUUCUGUCAAUCACAAGAAUACCAUGGCUGGUUUAGGUGAGUUAGACAUGGUAGGUUUUGAUGACAUUCUAGGUAUGGACUAGAUUCAUGGCUUUUACGUAGAUUGUAGAACUCGAGUUUGUUCCUUAAGCCAAGGAAGUUAAAGUUAGUUUCUAAGGGGAGUGUCUAUCAUUUACUCCAAGUUAAUGACUCUAGUGUUAAGAUACCUCUUAUUUAGUUAAUUCGAGUAGUAAAAUAGUUUCCAUAAGUCCUUUAAGAUGAUCUUCCCGGAGUCCCUCUUGAUAUACAAAAUAGACUUCGGCAGGGUUGAAAGAGCUUAAAGAACAGCUGAAAGAUAUGUUAGAUAAGGGUUUCAUUCGACCAAGAGUCUCACUUUAGGGCGCUACAAUCUUGUUUGUGACAAAUAAAGAAUAAGUAUCCUCUUUAUCAAAUUGAUAAUACUUUCGAUCAGCUUCAGGGUGCUUCUUAUUGUUAUAAGAUUAACCUCAGAUGUGGCUACCAUCAGUUGAAAGAAAGGGAGUGUGAUAUUCCCAAGAUAACAUCUAGGACCCCUUAAGGUCAUUAUGAGUUUAUGGUCAUGCCAUUUGGUUUCACUAAUUCACUUGCAAUAUUUAUGAACCUUAUGAAUAGAGUCUGUAUACGUCAUUUAGAUAUGUUUGAUAUCAAUUUUAUCUAUGACAACUAAUCUAUUCAAGAAAUGAAGAAGAUCCUUCUAGUCAUCUCAAACUAGUCCUCCAGUCUUUGAAUGACGAGGAGGUAUAUGCUAAGUUCCCCAAAUGCGAGCUUGACUUGAUAUUAUGGCGUUCUUGGGUUACAUAGUUUCCGGUGAUGGAAUUAGAGUUGAUACCAAAAAGAUAGAACCAGUUCAAAGUUGGCCUAGACCCACAUGUUCAACUGCAAUAAGGAGUUUCUUAGGUUUGGCUAGAUUAAAUAGAAGGUUUGUAGAGGGGUUCUCCUAUAUUUCUUCCGUUUUGACCUAUUAACUCAGAAAAGAGUAAAAUAUCAAUGGUUUGAGGCUGGUGAGAAAAACUUUUAGGAAUUGAAAAACAGAUUGACACUUUCCCAAUUUGAUCUUACAAGAAGGUAAGCAAGGCUUUGUUGUCUAUUGUGUUGCGUCUAGAAUUGUUUGAGUUGUGCGUUAAUGUAGAAUGACAAAUUUAUAGCUUUUACCUCCAGGUAGUUGAAAUUUCAUGAGAAGAAUUACCCAAACCAUGAUCUAGAGUUUGAUGUUGCGGUAUUUGUUUUGGAAAUAUUGUGCCACUAUCUUUAUGGUAUUCAUGGAUAUAUAUUCACCGAUUAUAAGAGUCUUACGUGUUUACUUAGAAAGGGCUUAAUCACACACAAAGGAGGUGGCUAAAAUUACUCAAAGACUAUGACAUGAGUAUUCUUUAUCACCCAGGUAAAGCUAAUGUCGUUGUUGAUACUUUAAGUAAAUUCUCAAUGCUUGAAUGAAAGGCAACUGUUCAUAAUUAAAAAGUGAUGGCUUUUGAACCAGGGGGAGAUGCUGUUUUGAGGUAUGAAGAUAGAUUGUGUGAUUGAUUUUAAGGUUUAUUGGGAUAAUCACCUACCUCACAUGGAUUUUUUUACAACAAUAGUUACCAUUCUAAUAUCCAAAUGGAUCCUUAUGAAGCUCAUUACGGGAGAAGAUGCAGAUUUGAUUUUUAAUGGUUCGAAUUUUGUGAAGUAGGGUUGAAAGGACCAGAGUUACUUAAUCAAGCUAUGGAGAAAAUGAAAUCCAUUCAAAAUAGAUUGGAACCAACAAAAACUCAUCACAAAUCCUACAUUGAUGUUAGGAGAAUGUAGUAACAGUUUGAGGUAGAUGAUUGAGUUACUUGAAAAGUUUCACCCAUGAAGGGUGUUAUAAGAUUUGAUAAGGAAGGGAAGAUCAGUGUACAAUAUAUUGGUCCUUCCAAAAUAUCCAAGAGGAUUGACAAUGUAGCUGGUAAGUUAGAGCUACCACAAGAAUUAGUUGUAGUCCAUCCGGUGUCUCACAUCUCCAUCUUGAAGGAGUGCAUGGGAGAUACUGUACUUAUCAUACCAAUUGAGAGGAUAUUGAUAUCACGGAUAGUUUGUCUUAUGAGGAGGUUCCGGUUCAGAACCUAGAUCGCCAAGUUCGGAAGUUGAGAAUAAAGCAAGUAGCAUCGAGUCAAAGUUCUGUGGAGAAAUUAGUUUGUAGAGAAGCUACUUGAAAAUAUGAAGAGGAUAGGAGAAGAGAUACCCUCAUCUCUUCUGAUCCGGCGAAGCUUCAAAUUAAAGGUACUAAUCCUUUUCUUGGCAUUAAUAUUAAGUUGGCUUCUUGAAAUUGCAUUGUGCUUGUUGAGUGUUUAAAUUGUAUAAUUGAUGUGACACCUUUAACCUUGUCACAACCCAACCCGAUGGGCCGUGACUAGUGCCCGUUUUGGACACCCAUAUACAAACCUGCUAAGUAUAACAAACUGAAACUAAGACAAUAUAGAAUUUAAUCAAAUCAAGCCAACCCCAACGUCGUAUAUAUAUAAGAGGACCUGUCUCAUAAGGAGUCAUAACCAUUCAACCAUAACAGCAUACGCGAGCUGACAAGGCCGCCACUAUUCCAAGCAUAAUAACAUACGUAAGCCGACAAGGCUGUCACUACACAAUACACAAUGAUGUACGCAGCCGAAAGGGCUGCCCUUGUACAAGCGGACAUCCCAAACAAACCAUGUCCACACCAUUAUCCAAAACAUAUAUAUACAACUCACAUAAUUUCCACAGACCUCUAAGAGUACAUUAGUGAAACUCGACGGGAAAGGGCCCCGCCAUACCCAUAGACGAGCAAAAGACUACACAAAAGUGAUGUACCAAAACGACUGGGCUCCGGAAUAGUGGAGCUCUCCCAAUCAGCAGAGUAGAUAUCCUAGGCGGGAGGAUCACCAAACUGUGCGUCUACACCUGUGGGCAUGAAACGCAGCCCCCCGAGGAAAGGGGGUCAGUACGGACAAUGUACUGAGAAUGUAAAGCAUAUGGUAAAGAUGACAGGAUACCAAUAUGGCAAGUCGAAACAAAAUAUCGCUACACAUGCACCCUUUUAAGUGAAAAUCAUGCAUAUCUUUAAAAUAUAAGGUGCCCAGCUUCCCUAGUAAGGGACUCGGCAAAAUAAUCAUCAUUUCAUCUCCGUCAUCAUCAUCAUCGUAACCAUCCUCAUCACCAAUCAUAUAUAUAAUAUACAUACCCGGCCCUCUAGUGAGGAACUCGGUGACAUAUGCAAGAAACUCCGUACGAACAUUACCCGGCCCGGGACUCGGUGAAAUGAUAAAUGACUCCAUGCACGAGCAGAAUAUUAUGAGCAACCAUAUGCAAUUAAAAUCAUUUCUUAUAACUCAAUAGAACAAUCAACAUGAACCAACAAGGAGUAUUACCAAAGAUUAAUGUUUUAUCAAGAUUAUGAACCUUUAAUACGAUAUGGAAAUGUAAAAUCUCAAUGACUCUAAGAAGCACUACCAUAGAUAUUAGAGAUCAUCAUAGCCUUAGACAUAGCCGAUAUAUAGAGGAAUAAUUGUGGAAGCAAGAAUAUACGUCACCUAGACGCUCUAGAGGUAAGUAUCAAACCUGUCCGUUAUUCUCUUAUUUUAAAAUGUCAUGCCAAACAAAGAAAGAAGGGACAACGUCACAUACCGUAUAAUCAAGCCGCACGUCCAAUAUUUACUACUCAAGCUAUUAAUCUAUAACAAGCAACAAUCGUGCCGCAAUUAGAUAAACAUCUAGCUUUACUUUCUUGUAAGCUAGCUAAUAAUCUAACGAAAAUUCGGCAGCACUUCCCCUAUUUUCCUUACUUCGUCCCAAUCCGACAACAACCCAAAUUAUCCACAGCAAUACCAAUAACACAUAUAACCCAACGAAUCAUAUUAAACAGCCCCCUCCCCAAAACAGUUCUGUCUCGGCAACCAUAGUAGCGAAGCAACGACACACCGAGCGAUAACUCAUUUUAUAAUUCGCAACACAUCUACCUUAUCGUAUUCAUCCUUUGGAGUAUAUACUCAUAAUCACAUUCAACAUAUACAUAAUGCCAAAACAGAAUUUUCCUUCAGUUUGCUUUAAUCAAAACAACCCAAGCACCAACAUGACACCACUAAUAAUCCAAUUCUGGUUUCCGUUCAUACCUAGCACAUUCAAUAACUAAAACAAACUUCCUAAGCUACUGGUCACGCCCCCUUCUUAAAAUUAAUGGAUAAUUAACAAAGGUAUUCUAAAGAAUUAACACACCAAACAAGGAGAUUACUAACCAAAUUAUUUGCAGCUGCUGGCCAAGAGUUGAAGGGUUGGUUUCUCCAUUUCCAUGGCUGCCUAAGAAAAGUGGUGAAGAAGAAGAUGAUAUGCAGCAAUGCAUUUCACCACUUUAUUUAGCAUGGAGUGGAUUUAUCCACCUCAUUUAAUAGUAUGAAGUGGAGGCAGCCCCCCUCUACACCUGUCUAUUAAGGCCAGCUCACAAUCUGAUCCCUUUUUAAUUUUUGCCUUGAGUGGUGGGUCCCACUUGAUUAAAUUAAUCCUAAUCAGCCACCAAUUAUGAGUGGUAGGCCCCAUUUGAUUAAAUCAAUCCAAAUUAGCCACUAAUUAGUCCCUCACUUAAAGUUAAUGACACUUACAUUAGCCAAUUCAUACUUAAUAUCACAUUUGGAAAUAACAUCCUUGCCUAAUAUUUCUUUAAUCACUUGGAACUUAAAAUAAAAUCUCAAUCCCCGGACUUACGUCUACUAGAUCACGAUGCGCACUACGUAUAUAAAAAAACGAGGCAUAACAAACCUAGUACGAAUAAUGUCAUUCGAGGAUGAAUGUUCCCAAGGGGGGAGAUAUUGUAACAUCUCAUAACUAGAAGAACUAGAAAAGAAUGUAAAAUUUGAAGAUAAAUACUUUUGGUAAGUAAAAGGAAAUCUAAAAAUCACCAAGUUAAAAAAAGUGAGUAUUUGGCCAACUUCAAACGAUCAUAACUCCUAGCCCAGGAAAAGUGUGGUGUAGUUCAAGAUAUGAUUGGAAAGCCUUUGGGAAUGAUUAUUACAAUUUCGUAAAGCUUGCACGAUUCCAAGUUCGUAUGAGUGAGUUAUAUCAUUUGGAAGUUCAGCAGUUGAAUUAAGGAAUAUCAAAUCCGGAUUAGGGAUGGGCAAAUUUGUUUUUCCUUACCUAAUUAUAUUAAUUCAUUCUUUAGGGAUUAGUUGGGGUAAAAUAUUACUUCAUUCAGUUCAGAUAUGGUAUCCCAAUACAUGUGAAUUUCUAAAGAUACAUACACAUAUAUCUGGUGUAUAUCUAGAGCGAUUCAAUGUGUCUGAGAUACAUACAAAUCUUGCUCUCCUCGUUUCCCAAUCUCACCUCUCUCCCUUAUUAUGUAUCUGAUAGCAAAAAUAAAUGUAUCGAAGCAUAAGAUACGUAAAUAAUUCUAUAUUAAUGGUAAGAUAGAUAAUAUAUUGGAAAUAUCGAUAAUAAUAAUAUUGAUAGUAAUUAUAUGUCUAAUUAUAUAGUUUUCUAAUAUUUUAAAAUAGUAUUGACCAUAUAUUCUGAGAGUAGAUUUUAAAAAUUCACCUUUAACUAAUUAUUUGAAUAUAAAAUUUGACCAGAUUUUCAGAUUUUGGACUUCAAAAUAAAUAGUAUUGACCAUAUAUUCUGAGAGUACAUUUUAAGAAUUCACCUUUAACUAAUUAUUUGAAUAUAAAAUUUGACCAGAUUUUCAAAUUUUGGACUUCAAAUAUUUUUGAGUUCCUAAAAAUAAGAUUUAUUUCUUGAUUUUAGAAACUUCCAUUCAAGUAGCUCCCAAAAGUUUAGGCAUGAAAUUUAUUUUUCUUCUAAUUAAUUUAACUUUUGUCGUCUACAAUUAUAGCAGCAUAUUAAAAGUUCUCAUAUUUUAUUGAAUGUUUGAAGAUUUUGAUAUAUAGAUAAUUUCAUUUCGAAUUGUGUUCUAACCUACUUUCUUCAAUGUGAUAAAGUUAUUAACCAAAUUAGAAUUUUUUUAAUGUCAUUUAUUUAGAAUUUUUAUUUAUUUUUUGUUAUUACGUAAGUGCAAGACUAUAUUCUUUUAAAUAUUUAUAUAAAUAUAUUUUGUUACUACAAUUUUAACAUACUGAGGAGAUUUGUUUUCAUUUAUUGUAUUGCGAGAAAUUAAUUACAACAUUGAAGAAUUCUUUUGUAUAAAUAAGCAUUAAUUUUUUUUGGAGAGCCUCAUCAAUUGACAUUAUUUAAAGUCAUGGCAGAAAAACAGACCCUAGGACGCCACAAGAUUUCAAUUGCAAAAAUUCAGAAUGAAGCAUAUUUAUGCUCAUCAUUUUUUAUGCUUCGGAAAAAUUUAUACAAGAAAAGAAGCGAUAUGAUUGGGAAAUAUGACAUUGAUAUGGGAAUAAUAAGAUUUUCCCUCUCAGAUAAACCCUUCUCUUUUUUUGCACCCGACAAUUGAUGCUGUUGUUGAUAGUUUGUUUUGUCCAUUUGACCGGGGAAGUGAAAAUAGUCGCCAUAAAAUUGCAUACACUCAGAUCAGAAUCAAGGAGAAUCAAGUUGAGCUUGACAAUCUCGAGAUGAUAAAAGAGACAUAAGCUAAUCAGACACUAGACGAGACUGACAUUAAAAAAAUGUGGGAACAAAUAAAGGUAUUUAAUGCAAAGGAUUUGAAAAAAUCUGAAAGUCGAUUGGAUUAUAAUUUGAUGUUGAAAAAUGUUGCUUCAUGCAAAUAAAUAAUUAGAUUUUUUUAAAAAAAAAUAUAUUUUCGUUUUAUGUUCUAGUUUCGAUGUUUAUUUUAAAGUUGAUGAUGUUAUAUGAAUUAUUUAGUUAUGAUUUAAAUUUAUGAUAUGAAUUUAGUGAACCCAAAGACUCAAAUUUUUUUUAUUAAUUAUGAUUUCAAUAUUUAAAUUUAUCAUGGUACGUUUUUACAAUUCUUAAAAUAUAUGUCAAUGAUUUUGAAUAUAUUUAAUUUUACUAUCACUAUGAGGACCUCAGAUCUUGGCUAUGACUACUAAAUGCAAAUUAGUUUUCUGGAUUUUAAUCUAACCACACUCAUAUAAUGUGUUCAAAAUUAAUUCAAAGUUAUUCUUACACGUUGGGGUAUUUAUAUAUAUCUUAAACGGCUUUAGGAAUAAUACAUUCUGAAAAAUAAAUAAUCAGAACUAGAAGGUGAAAUUAAUUCGAGCGGAUAGUGAUGUCCAUUUUCUCUCAGCAUCGUAGAAGAUCUCUUAGGUAAAAGAGACUCUAGUAGUUGAAUUAUAAAUUGAUUCAACUAAAGGUAAUGUCACUUUUUGAGAAAAAAUAAAAACUUUCAAUUUAGUGGUGAAAUCGAUAUUUUCAUGAUGGCUAAGCUUUCGUAAGUGACAAAAUCGACCAAUUUUCUCAAUGAUGAGCACAGUUUUACACCCAUUAUCAAUAAAUUUGACCAGCUUUGUUUUAUGUAUCUAUCACAAAUCAGUUGUUAAAAUAAUUGCGUAUGGAUUUUAGUAACACAAAAAUAUGCUGAUUAGGUUUUUAAUUAAAUAAUUUGAUUUGUCAAAAAAAAACUAGGACUAUUUUUUCGUUGUGUGCUGUUAUAUAUGAUAAAACUUCCAAAAAGAAGUUCAUUGGAUAAAUUUUUAUUACAUAAAUUCCACUAAUUUAAGAAUGAAUUACUUAAAUACAAUACAGUUUGGAAUAUUAUUUAUUUUACCAGAUUUUUGUGCAUAAAUGCUUCCAAAUACUGGUAUCUCAUAUACAUGGGAUCAAAUUUAAGUGUAAUUUGUUUAAGAUAUAUUAUAUCCAAGUGGAUCCACUUGUAUUUGUUAUACAUGUAUAACAAAUCUUGCUCUCUCCUUUCUCUCAUCUCACUCACAAUUCGAAGAUAGAUAUGGUAUCGUAAUACAUGUGAAUCAUUUAAGUUAUAUACACAUAUACGUAUCUAGUGAGUAUCUAGUGUGAUUUACAUAUGUCUAAGAUACAUACAAAUCUUGCUCGCCUCGUUCCACAAUCUCGCAUCUCUCCCUUUUUAUAUAUUUGAUAGCAAAAAUACAUGUAUUUAAGAAUAAGAUAUGUAAAUAAUUCUAAAUUAGUGGUAAAAUAGAUAAUUCUUUGGCAAUAUAGAAAUAAUAAUAAUAUUUAUAGCAGUGAAGUUUAUGUCUAAUUAUAUAGUUUUGUGAUAUUUUGAAAUAGCAUUGACCAUAUAUUUUGAGAAUAUAUUUAAGAAAUUCACAUUUAACUAUUAUUUAACUAUAAUAUUUGAUCAGAUUUUCAAAUUUUGUUCUUCAAAUAUUCUGAAAUUCCUAACACUAAUGUUUAUUGGAUUUUGGUAAUUUUCAUUCACGAAACUCCAAGAAAUUUUGGGCAAGAAAAUUAUUUUUUUCUAAUUACUUUAACUUUUGUCGUCACAAUUAUAGUACCAUAUUGAAAAUUUUCCUAUUAUAUUGAAUGUUGACGAUUUUUAUGUAUAGAUUAUUUCAUUUCAAAUUGUAUUCUCACAAACUUUCCUCAAUUUGAUGAAGUCAUUAACUAAAUAAGAAUAUUACUCUCUUUAGUUUAAUUUUUAUUAUUAUGGUAAGUGCAAGACUAUAUUCUUUUAAAUAUCUGUAUAAAUAUAUUUUGUUAUUAUAAUUUUAACAUAAUGAGGAGAUCUGUUUUCAUUAAUAUAUAGUAUUGCAAGAAAUUAAUUACGACAUUGAAGCAAUGUUUUUGUAUAAAUUAGUGUUGCAUUUUUUUGGAGAGUCUCAUCGAUUAACAUAUCCUUUUAGAGUCAUGAAAGAAAAAGAAGAUUUUGACGGCCAAAAUAGAAAAUGAAGAUGAUUUAUACGCAUCAUUUUUUCAAUGUAUUGUAAAACUUUAUACAAGAAAGGAAGCGAUAUGAUAGGGAAAUCACAUUGAUGUGGGAAUAAUAACAUUUUUCCAGUAUGAUAAUUCUUUCUUUUUUAUACCCUACAAAUGAUGUUGUUGUAGAUCGUUUCUUUAGUCUAUUUGACCAGGGAAGUGAAAAUAAUCGCUUUAACAUUGCAAACACUCUGAUCAGAAUCAAGAAGAACCAAGUUGAGCUUGACAAUCUCGAGAUCAUAGAAGAGACUUUGGUUAAACAGACAACAGAAAAUACUGACAUAGAAGAAAUCGGGGAAUAAAUAGUAGUAUUUUAAUUCAGAGGAGUUGAAAAAAUCUAAAAGUUGAUUGGAUGGGAUUGAUUUGAUGCUGAAUAAUGCUGCUCCUUCUUUUUCACAAGCUCCUCGAGAAAAUGCUAAUUAAGCAUACAAUGGUUCGUAUACAUUUGAAGCCUCAUGUGAUGAAAUAAUUAUUUUUUUUGUAAACAAUAAGUUUAAGUUUGGAUGUUUAUUAUAAAGCUGAUGGUGUUAUUUAAAUUAUUUAGUUGUGAUUUCAAUUUAUGAUAUGAAUUUAGUGAACCUAAAGACUCAAAUUUUUGUAAUUAUGAAUUCAAUAUUUAAAUGUCUCAUGGUACAUUUUAGAAUUUUUAACAUAUAUGUGAAUGAUUUUGAAUAUAUUUAAUGAUAUUAUCAUUGUAAAGACUUUAGAUCUUGGUUUUGGACUAAUAGAUGCAAAUUAGAUUUCAGGCUUUUAAUCUAAUCACACCCAUAUAAUGUGUUCAAAAUUAAUUUUUAAACUUAUAAAUUUAUUCUUACAAUUUUUGGCUAUUUAAAUAUAUCUUAAACGGUUUUUAGGAAAAAAUAGAUUUAAAAAAAUAAAUACUCGGAGCUAGAAGGUGAAAUUUAAUUCGAGCAGAUAGUGAGGUCCAUUUUCUCUCUAUAUCGUAGAAGAUCUGUCAAGUUAAAGUGUAGCUAGUAGUUGAACUACAGAUUGAUCCAACUAAAAGGUAAGCUCACUUUUUUGAGAAAAAAUAAAAACAUUUAAAUUUAGUAGUGAAAUUGAAAUUGUCAUGAUGGCUAAGCUUUCGUAAAUGACAAUUUUGGCCUAUUUUCUCUGUGAUGAGCGCAUUCUUACACCCAUCACAAACAAUUUUGUUCAUUUUUUAUAUGUAUUAUCACACACCAGUUGUUAAAAUAAUUGCAUAUAGAUUGUAUUAACACAAAUAUAUGCUGAUUAGGGUUUUAAUUCAAUAAUUUGCUUCGUCAAAAAAAAGAAGCAGCUAAGAUUAUCUUUUCGUUGUGUAAUGUUAUAUAUAAUAAAAGUUCAAAAAGGAAGUUCAUUGAAUAUUUUUUACAUAUAUUUCCACUAGUUUAAGAAUGAAUUACUUAAAUACAUUAUAGUUUGGAAUAUAAUUAUUUUACCUGAUUUUUGUUCAUUCAAAUACAUCCAUAUACUGAUAUCUCAUAUACAUGGGGUCAUAUUUACGUGUAAUUUGUUUUAUAUAUAUAUAUAUAUACAUUGUAUCCGAGUGGAUCUGACUGUAUUUGACAUACAUGUAUAGGAAAUCUUGCUCUCCUCUCUCUCAUCUCACUCUCCACUCUCAGAUAGAUGUGGUAUCCCAAUACAUGUAAUUCACUCAAGAUACAUACAUAUAUAUGUAUCUAGUGUGUAUCAAGUGUGAUUUACAUGUAUUUGAAAUACAUAUAAAUUGUACUCGCCUAGUUCCCCAAAUCUUGCCUCUCUCCCUUUUUAUGUAUCUGGUGGCAAAAAUACAUGUAUCUUAGCAUAAGAUACGGAAAUAAUUCUAAAUUAGUGGUAAUAUAGAUAAUAUUUUGGCAAUAUAGAUAAUUAUAAUAUUUAUAGCAUCGAAGUAUAUGUCUAAUUAUAUAGUUUUCUAAUAUUUUAAAAUAACAAUGACCAUAUAUUUUGAGCAUAGUUUUUCAAAAUUCAUCUAUAACUAUUUAUUAGACUAUAAAAUUUGACCAGAUUUUCAAAUUUUGGUCUUAAAUAUUUUGACGUUCCUAACACUAACUAAGAUUUGUUUUUGGAUUUUGGUUACUUCUAUUCAUGAAAAACCAAGAAAUUUUUUGUAUGAAAUCUUUUUUUCUUCUAAUUACUUUAACUUUUGUCGUGUACAAUUAUAGUAGAAUAUGAAAAUUUUUUCUAUUAUAUUGAAUGUAUGAAGAUUUUUAUAUAUAGGUUAUUUCAUUUCAAAUUGUGUUCUCACCUACUUUCCUCAAUUUGAUAAAUUCAUUAAUCAAAUUACAAUAUUAAUCUCUUUAAUUUAGAAUUAUUUAUUUAUUUAUUGUUAUUAUGGUAAGUGCAAGACGAUAUUUCUUUUAAAUAUUUAUAUGAAUAUAUUUUAUUAUUAUUAUUUUAACAUAAUGAGGAGAUUUGUUUUCGUUUAUAGUAUAGAAAUUAAUUACAACAUUGAAGAAUUCGUUGUAUUAAUAAGAAACACAUUUUUGGGAGAGCCUCAUCAAUAAACAUAUCAUUUUAGAGUCAUGACAGGAAAAAAGACUCUAGGCACCAGAAGCUUUCGAUGGCCAAAAUAAAAAAUGAAGAUUAUUUAUAUUCAUCAUUUUGAAAGUGUCUUGAAACACUAUCCAAGAAAGCAAGCGAUAUUAUUGGAAAUAUGACAUUGAUGUGAGAAUAAUAACAGUUCCCCCUAUGAUAAUCCGUUCUUUUUUUUACAUCCUACAAUUCAUGUUGGUGUUGAUCGUUUAUUUAGUCCAUCAAACCACAAAAGUGAAAAUAGUCGCCUUAACGUUGUGAAUACUCAUAUUAGAAACAAGUUGAGCUUUACAAUUUAGAGAUCAUAGAAGAGACUUUAGCAAAUCAGACAACAGACGAGACUGACUAGCACAAAUGUUGGAACAAAUAAAGGUAUUUAAUGCAGAAGAUAUGGAAAAAUCUGAGAGUCGUGGAUGAGAUUGAUUUGAAUCUUGAAAAUGCUACUGCUUCUUUUACACAAGCUCCUCAAGAAAUUGCUAAUUAAGCAUACAAUGAUUCCUAAUACAUUUGAAUCCUCGUGCCAUGAAAUAAUUAUGUUUUUUUAAAAUGUUUAUGUUUUGAGUUUUAGUUUUGAUUUUUAUUUUAAAGUUGAUAGUGUUAUUUUAAUUAUUUAGUUGUGAUUUCCAUUUAUGAUAUGAAUUUAGUGAACCCAAAGGCUUGAAUUUUGUAUUUAUUUUGAGUUAAAUAUUUAAAUUUCUCAUGGUACAUUUUAGAAUUUUUACCAAAUAUGCUAAUGAUUCUAAUUAAAUGUUAUUAUAUUGAAUAUAUUUAAUGAUACAAUCAUUCUGAAGACCUUAGAUCUUGGCUUUGGACUAAUAGAUGCAAAUUAGUUUAGAGAGUUUAAAUUUAAUCACACCUAUACAAUGUGUUCAAAAUUAAUUCAAAUUUAUUCUUACGGGUUUGGGUUGUUUAGAUAAAUCUAACAAUGGUUUUUAGGAAAAAAAUAACAUUUUUAAUAUAGUUAAUCAGAGCUAGAAGGUGAAAUUUAAUUAGAGCAGACAAUGAGUUCUAUUUUCUCCCAAUAUCGUAGAAGAUCAGUCAGGUCAAAGAGUCUCUAGUAUUUGAACUAUAGAUUGAGCCAACUAAAAGGUAAAGUCACUUUCGUAAAUGACAAAUUUGGCCUAUUCUCUUAUGGACGAGCGUAGUUUUACAACCAUUACUAACAAAUUUGACCAUUUUUUAAGAGUAGCAUUAUUUUAAGUAAUUCACCCUACCUUAGAUGUGAUGUUAUUCUCUUCUGUUUAUGAAAGUGCAUCUUAGCCCCUUGCUUCUUCUUCCAUGUGGAUUUUUCAUAAACAAGAUUUCAAGAGAAGUUUCCUUUUAUUUGUGGCACAUGGUUUUUUGAAAUUCAUUUCAAGAAGGUUGAAGUUUAUCUACUAUGCCACAAACAAUAAUGUUAUCUCCAAUUUUAACCUCUUCAAACCUAAGCUCUCAAACAAUCAUGAUAAAGUCUUGAGCUUGGUCUACCAGUGAUUUGUUGUCUACCAUUUGGAAACGAAAAAAUCAACUAGCCGCAUAUUUUUUCGCUCAAGCCUCUUUGGUAUCAUACUUAAUCUGCAAUGCCUUCCAAAUAUUCUUUGCACUAGAGUAAGUUCUAUCAUAAUAUUCAUAAAAAUUAUCAGAUAGACAAUUAAGAAGAUAAUACCGACACUUAUAGGAAUCACCAUCGUACUUUUCCACUUUCUCUAGAUAAAAAAAAUUAUUUCAUCAUCAUUCAUAGAGGUGAUGUCUUCUUUAUUUGGAUUCUUCUCGGUCAAUAAAUAAGAAACAUUGAGAAGAAUUAAGUAGAAAAGCAGUUUACCCUUUCAUCUCUUGAAAUGGUUACCAUUGAACCGAAAUGGCUUAUUAACGUCUCCCAUCUUGACAUCCGCGGUUUUUUUCAAUUGUAACCAUGUUAAAUCUCCUUAAUUGUUAGUGAAAACUUAAAAUAUAACAAAAAUACAAGAUUAAAUUGAAUAUGAAAUGAAGAAAUCAAAUCUUUUCAGGUUAACAUACGGAUAUUUCGCUCUCUUUAAGGAUAUUCAAGCCUACUGCAACAAAUGUUUCACAUGUACAACAGUAGUCCUCUUGGGCUUCUCCCUUUCAGGAUACAACGGCCUUUACAAAGUAUAACUCAACAACUACGGACAAGAUUUGAGUCCAAAGCUCCACAAAUAAAGCACCUCCCUUCAAUUAAUAAGAACUCUUUUUUAACUAACUCUUUUACUCUAUAUUUUUUUCUUCUGUUUUAUAGGUUACAAACCAAAUGAAGACCACCACUAUUUAUAGUAUAAGAAGUCUUCCUAACAAUGAAUAGGAAGAUAAUGUGGUAGUAAAUAGUGAAGAUACUGAUCUUAGGAGUUACAUAUGUUGCAAAGAAUAAUGGUAAAUAAUGUGAGUGCAUUAUGCAACUAACGGGCAGAAUGUGGAGUUUCACAAAGAUACAAUAAUGUGCACCAAAUGAAAAUGUCAGAAACGGCUUAAUAAAUAUAAAUAAACCUCAUAAUGCAUUCUUCCAAGGAUAAAAUAAAAUAAACCAACCUUUUUUCCAAAUAUAAAACAAAAUAGACCAAAAGAAAUUUCUUGAGGUUUGAUUCGUAUUUGAACGAGUGAUUUUGGAUUGAAUAUAUCGUAUAUUUAGAGUGCUAUUGAUCCUUAGUAUUUGGGGAAGGAUUUAUAUACAUUUACAGAGUUUUGAGAUUAAAAUUGAAGGAGAAAAGUUGGAGUCACCUAGAAAAAAGGAUGAUGCGUCGGGCCAGCCAGCGCGCCCCAAAGAAAUCUCUUUCUAUAGGGCUCUGGGGUGACGCGCCAGACUGAGCGCCCCAAACAGUCCUACGAAGUUUGAGGGCUGGCGCCCUGUGCUUUUCAGAACGCCAGGGAUGUCAGUUCUUCCCAUUCUCCCGUACUAGUUUCUUAGUGAUAUACCUAUGUUUCCUAGUUGAUUCAGACAAUCUAAGGUACAUCUACACAUCACGAAAUCAUCCAUAAACAUGAGAUCAUGAGCCUUGAAUCCAUUAUCCAAUUCAAGAAAGUUAAGAUCAAAGUCAAGAGAAGUUAAGAGUCUCAUAUACCACACUCAUUCAUUCAUUAGGAAUAGAUAUAGAAAUUUCUACUAGACACUCCACUCAACUUACGGAUGAUCAUAUUCAGAAGAGAUCAAUUGAGAAUAACAUUCAAUACACUCAACGUUCCUUAACAAUAGUGUAGAACUUCAUUCAUCAUUCAUUUAUUUUUCAUUCAUGAGUGUGUGUGAGGGAGUAACUUUUCACCUUAAAUGUCAUCAUUCUUAAAUGUUAAUCAAGAAUAUGACUCCACUCAUAACACCAUUGCAAUCUUGACAUAAUCAUAAAGUACAUGGAAGUAAACACAUCCACCAUAACUAGAUCAAACAUCAAUAAAUUAACAUUCUAUAUCAUUUAAAAUCAAUCUCAACCCAUAUAUCCAAGAUACUACAAGAGAUAAGACAAUUGACAUAUUUCCAUAACCAAUUCCACCAUCUGCAUAAGCAAUUCAACAUGAAUUCAUUCAUAAUUCCUUUAAAGGUCAUGAUCCUCACAUCAUCAAUACAUAAAUAAAUUCACCACAAUUAUAUAUAACUAAUGGCAUGAAUUCAUAAUCUAACUUCAUGUAAACACAUACUAUUCAUUAUAUUUCCAUAAUUAACCAAUUCUCAAUCAAUUUCCAAGAUAAAGAAGUUUGGAGAAAGUGUGGGUUCCUGAAGAAAUUCAAUAGAAACUCACAUUGAAAUCAUCAAUUAGACCACAUAUUAUCAUUAUAAUGAGUUUGAAAAUGUUUUCCAAUCAAACCCAAAUUAGAUUAGAAAGUAGUGUUUUGACUAUUGAUGAACUUUGAAAUGCAUUUUUAUUUGACUCCUUGAAUGAAAUAUUUAUCAAGGAUUACGGAUUACCAUCACUUAUACUUGAAGAAUCCCACAAAAUAGAAUUGAAAACUUGAAGAAAUUGACCUUGGAAACUUGAAAACCCCAACUCUAAAGGAGGUUCCUUCAGGGAGACUUUCAGAGAAGAAAGGUUUCUAAGUUUUUGAGUUUUGAAAAUAAUAAUGUGUAUAAUAGGUUUUAAACACUUGUAAUACUCUUUAAAUAUGUUAAUAUAACUAAAAUAACCGUCCAUGUACAUUAAAAUAUUUUACCAAUUCACCCUUCAGUUGGCCGAGCUAAAGACAAAUAUGUAGGUGAUAUCUACAGUUCCCCAUCCACGGACCAUGGAUGGGUUGAUUCCACGUACUGGUGUUCCAUUAUUUUUGUCACAGUCUGUUCCUUUGAGGCCUUGAUCCACGCCAAUGGUUAAUGAGUUGUAGAUCAAUCUACUGGUCAUGAAUGUGUCUCGUGAACCAAGCUGUUUUGACAACUUUUUGGGUAGAGUUAGGGUCCUCCCCAAGGAUCCCUUCGGUGGUAAUUGGGGUGUUCUACCAAGAAGUUUAACCCCUAAGAACAUUUUUCUAAUUAUAAUAUUCACUUCAAUUUUUUACACUUAAACAACACUCUAAACUUCACUGACAAGGCCUUAGAACACACUUACUCAAAUGACUAGUUUCCCGACCCUAUAGUCAUUUUUUGUUGUUUGACCUCAAUUCUCUUUAAACUAAAAUUAAAAAUCCAUUAAUCAUCAUUUCUAUCAAGUUCUCAAAUUCAAAAUCACAUGUGAGGCUCGAUUUCUUCCUAUAUAAUUUUUAGGACCGUUACGAUGUUAGGGUAUGCUAACAGUUAGGGUUAUGGUUCCAUUUAAGAACAAAUUACAUGAAAUAAUUGUGUAUCUUGAGAUCUGUGAAAUUGUACAUUGUUCAUAAAUGUUAAAGAUAUUGUAUAUUCAGUAUAUACAUGUGUUUAUAAUCGUGCUUGACUUUCUUAUGUUACACUUAGUAGGAUAGCCGCGUGAUCUUACCACUAAUCUCAGGUUAUGUACUAAUACUAUACUUGCCCUUAUUUUUCUUGAGUACAUGUAAUCUUCAAAUGGCUAUUGACACACCUAACUUAAAAGACCGGUGAACGUUUGAAUUCAAGGGUGAUCCAAUCUUUUGGGCUGGCAUGAGUCCUUCUUUCGUCUCUGUCCACCUUUCAUACUUAGACUUGUUCUAGUUAGUAUUAAUUUAAUAAGCUUAACUUAUACUCCUUUUUUAAAUAUAAUUUAACAAUUUUUAACACAUAGUUUAAUUAUCAUUUUAAAUUUAAUGUUACAAAUCAAUAAAACAUUUGAAACAUAGCAACAUAACUAAACCAAAAUUCUGAACUUCCUGUCAUCUUUGAGAUCAGACUUUUGUUUUUCCUUAAUCCCUAAGUAUUUUAUUCUAUGGAAAUGGAUCAAAAUGUUCUUAAAUUAAGUGAAAUGCAUAAAUUUUAUUCCACCAUUAAUAUUUUGAUCAAAUCAUACCCAUUAUUACUUAAUUUCCCAAAAAUAUCCUUAUUUCUCACCAAACAUAACAAAAAAUGAAUAAGUACAUAUUGGACCUAGUGUUAGAACGAAUGAACAAGAAUGAGAAAAUCACAAGGAAUACAAAAUAAAACAUUCGUGGCUUAAAGGCACAUUAAUACGUCUCUUGAAGAUAGUUGGAGUCUCUCCCACAAGCAAUCCGAAGAAUAAAUAACAAUUCUAUUUUUGGGAUUCAACUAAGCCACAAAACAAGUAGCAUUAAAGAAUGUUUCUCUUCUAUUAUUGAAUUGGUGAUUUCACCUUUUGAUUAAUGUCUCACAAGUGUUUUCAUGGGAAAGUACUUUUAUUUGAAUUCUUAUCUUUUUUAACCAAAAGAAACUCUUUUUAUAGGAUAAACAUUAUGCAAGAUAAAGACUUUUGAUUAAUAUAAUUUAUUAUAGGUUCAUGAAUUUAAAAUAAAGUUAUCUUUCCAAAUUAAUAACGUAGAGCCUCUUACAAAAUCCUAUAACGUAGAAUUAAAACAAAGAAGAAUGUGACAACUCACAUUCAUUAUUUUGUUAUUUUCAAAACUUUUAAUGGAUGAAUUUUAUUUCAAAAUUAAUUGAGGCACUAAUUCUUACAAUCCCCCACUUGUUUCAAGAAAUUUCAUCUUUGAAAAAUCCAAAAAAAAUUUUGAGACAUUAAUCUACAUGCGUCAAUACUGGUGUCUUUUAGACUUGAACCAUUAUCUAGUGAAGGUUUUCUAAAUCAUUGACUACUUAUUAAACAAAUCUUGAAUUAAGUGGUUUAUUGAAUGAAGUUAGAAAAAAAUACUCCACGCAUAUCACUAUAUUCCGGUGAAAAUCAAAAUCCUUUGGCACCUUACGGCCAUGUGUCAUGAAUCCUCUUAGCCAGAAACCUUAAAAAUCUUAUUGAAGCGGUGUCCACUUCGCACUUAGUGCAGUGAAUUCAUCAAGAGUAACUUUGCAUACUUUGACCAAAUAGUCUAUGAACUUCAUUAAGAGAAAAUUAAUCUCAUCCUCCUUUACAACAAAGUAUCGGUAAAUCUAUCAAGAGUAUUCCUAUGCACUCCAAUCGAAAUCGAUUUAUAGACUUAUUAAGAGGAUAUAAUCUCAUCCUUCACUUCAUUAGGAAUAUGAUUAACAUUUAUCAAGAGUUUUCUUACUAACUCCAAACGAGAUCGGUCUUAUAAAUUUAUUAAAAGAAAAGAAUCUCAAUCAUGUACUUCUACUUAUUUCAUUUUAUUUUGAAAAUGAAAGUUUUAUUGAUGUGUGUCACAAUUGUAACUUUAUUUGUUUUUCCCUUUGAACCCAUGAUUACAUCAUCAGGUAGGGUUACGAUAAAGUACAAUCAGUUUCCAACAGGGUUUAUUCCCAUACCAUUAUAGAUUUCAACUACUAACUCUUUGCCUAACCCUUUACACAAAGGAUUCGCUAAAUUAAAAUCUAGACUUUACAUAUUGAAGUGAUAUCACACCUUCCUCCAAUAAUCUCCUCAUAUUAUUUUGUUUGAGACAAACUUGUCUUGACUUGCCAUUAUAGCAGUCACUUGAAGCCCAAAAUAUAGUAGCUUGAUUAUCACAAUAAAUAGUUAAAGGUGGUAUGACUUACUCCAUAAAGGAAUAUCAAUCAACAAAAAUUGUAGCCAUUCAGCUUCUUCUCCAGCAGAAGACAUAGCUAUAAAUUUUGACUCCAUGUUUGAAUGAGUAAUACAUGUCUGAUUCUUUGAUUUCCAAAAGAUCGUUGCUCCAGCCAAAGUGAAAAUCAAAGCAGUAAUAGAUUUAGAGUCAUUCGGUUCAGAAUUCCAAGUAGCACCGCUAUAGCCUUCAAGAACAACAAGAAAUGUAGAGUAAUAUAGGCCAACAUUAAUUGUACCCUCCAAGUAUCUUAAAACACGAAUUAAGGCAUUCCAGUGUUCAACUCCAGGAUUACUAGUAAACUUGCUCAAAGUUCCUACUGUGUAACCAAUAUCAGGUUCGGUACAUAAGACUCCCAACAAUCUCAGAAUAUAUAAGCUGACCAAGAAUAUCACUAGAGUUCCGCAUAAGUUUGAUGCUAGGAUCAAAUGGUGUAGGAGCAGGUUUGACGUCAAAGUGACCAAACCUUUUUAGAAUUUUCCCAAUAUAACUUGAUUGAGUAAGAAUCAAGACAUUCGCCGAUCUCAUGAUUUUAAUGCCCAACAUUACAUAAACUUCUCCAAGAUCUUUCUUUUCAAAUUGAGAAGCUAUAAAUGAUUUUGUUUCUUUGACUCUUUCAAUAUCAGUUCCAAAGAUCAACAUAUCAUCUACAUAGAGACAUAUUAUAACACCUUUUUCUUCUUAAAUUUACUAAAUAUACAAAUAUCGCCACCAUUAAUUAAAUAGCCAUUAGAAAUUAUUACUCUUCUUAAUUUCUCAUUCCGUUGUUUUAGAGCUUGUUUGAUUCCAUAAAGAGAUCUAAGAAGCUUACAAACUUUGUGUUCUUGACGAGGAACGACAAAACAUUCUGGUUGUUUCACGUAAACCUCUUAAUCUAGAUCUCCAUUCAGAAAUGAAAUCUUCACAUCCAUUUGAUGUAUUACCAUACUAUGAAUUACGGUUAAAGCAAUUAAGAGUCGAAUAGAAGUCAAUUGGCUACAGGUGCAAAGGUAUCAAAAUAAUCAAUAUCUUUUGAUAUACCGUUAUUUCACGGUAUUUUUAAUGCUUUUUCCUUAUGUUUAGUGUGUGUCCAAAAGCCUUUUUGAAUUAAUUUUUAUGAAAGUUUCUCUUUAUUUGCACGAAAUCUGUCUAAAGAUGAAUGCAAAAGUUUUUUAGUAAGAAAUGCUAAAAAGUAUCACCUACGGAGCUUUUGACAGUCCAUCGUGCCUGUGACGAUCCGUAGGUGGCAUCGUAGUGAAGCUGCUGAAGGAAGAUGGGGAAGUCUGUGUUAUGCCUCGUAUUUUAUACGUAGUGCGCGUCAUGAACUAGUAGAUGUAAGUCCGGGAAAUGAGAUUUUAUUUUAAGUUCCAAGUGAUUAAAGAAAUAUUAGGCAAGGAUGUUAAUUCCAAAAGUGGUAUUAAGUAUGAUUUGGCUAAUGUAACUGCCAUUAACUUUAAGUGAGAGAUUAAUUAGUGGCUGAUUAGGAUUAAAUUAAUCUAGUGGGCCCCACCACUCAAGGCAAAUUAAAAGGAAUCAGAUUAGGAGCUGGCCUUAGUGGGACACGUGUAGAGGGGGUUUGCCUCCACUUCAUAUUAUAAAUGGGUGGUGAAAUGCAUUGCAACAUACCAUCUUCUUUUCCACUUGGCUUAGGCAGCCAUGGAAAUGGAGAAAACCAACCAUGUAACUCUUGGCCAGCAGUUACAAAGAAUUUGGUCAGUAAUCUCUUUGCUUGGUGUGUUAAUUCCUUAGAAUACCUUUGGUAAUUAGCCAUAAUGUUAAGAAGGGGGCGUAACCAAUAGCUUAGGAAGUUUUUUUUAGUUAUUGAAUGUGCUAAGUAUGAACGGAAACCAUAAUCGAAUUAUUAGUGGUGUCGUGUUAGUGUUUGGGCUGUUUUGAUUAAAGCAAACUGCGGGAAAUUUUGUUUUGGUGUUAUGUAUAUGUUAAUGUGAUUAUGGGUAUAUACUCCAAAGGAUGAAUACGAUAAGGUAGAUGUGUUUGCGAAUUAUAAAACAUGUUAUCGCUCGGUGUGUCGUUGCUUCGUUACUAUAGUUGCCGAGACGGAACUGUUUUGGGGGGGGGGGUCUGUUUAAUAUGAUUCGUUGGGAUAUAUGUGUUAUUGGUAUUGUUGUGAAUAAUUUGGGUUGUUGUCGGAUUGGGACGAAGUAAGGAAAACAGGGGAAGUGCUGCCAGAUUUUUGUUAGAUCAUUAACUAGCUUACAUAAGUAGUAAAGCGCGACGUUUCUCUGAUUGCGGCACGAUUGUAGCUUGUUAUUGAUUAAUAGCUUGAGCAAUAAAUAUUGGACGUGAGGCUCGGCUAUACGGUAUGUAAAGCUAUCUUUACUUUCUUUGGUUGGCACGACUUUUAAAAAUGAGAGAAUAACGGACAGGUUUGAUACUUACUUCUAGAGCGUCUAGGUGACAUAUAUUCUUGCCUCCACAACUAUUCCUCUAUAUAUCGGCCAUGUCUAAGGCUAUGAUGAUUUCUCAUAUCUAUGGUAGUGCUUGUUAGAGUCAUUGAGAUUUUAUGUUUCCAUAUCGUAUUAAAGGUUCAAAUACUUGAUACAACGUUAAUAUUUGGUAAUACUCCUUGCUGGUUCACGUUGAUUGUUCUAUUGAGUUAUAAGAAAUGAUUUUAAUUGCAUAUGGUUGGUCAGAAUAUUCUGCUCGUGCAUAGAGUCAUUUAUCAUUUCACCGAGUCCCGAGUCGGGUAAUGUUCGUACGGAGUUUCUAGCAUAUGUCACCGAGUCCCUCACUAGAGGGCAGGGUAUGUAUUUUAUAUAUAUGAUUGGUGAUGAGGAUGGUUAUGAUGAUGAUGAUGACGGAGAUGAUGUGAUGACUAUUUCACCGAGUCCCUCACUAGACGGCCGGGUAC